GUCCACGCUGUAAACGAUGGAUGCUAGCCGUUGGCGGGUUUACCCGUCAGUGGCGCAGCUAACGCAUUAAGCAUCCCGCCUGGGGAGUACGGUCGCAAGAUUAAAACUCAAAGGAAUUGACGGGGGCCCGCACAAGCGGUGGAGCAUGUGGUUCAAUUCGAAGCAACGCGCAGAACCUUACCAGCCCUUGACAUGUCCCGUAUGGGUUUCAGAGAUGAGACCCUUCAGUUCGGCUGGCGGGAACACAGGUGCUGCAUGGCUGUCGU
rnacentral:rRNA from 1 species